AGGAUGGCCUGAGGGAAGGCUAUGGAGAAAGGCUCUGAAACGGCUCCCUUCUGGGCAAACGAAUUGGAAGCAGAUGGUGCUCUCCUUGGGCGGGUAGGGUCCAGGUGAGGGGAGGAAGCAGAGGGGCACGCGUGUGCCCAGAGUGAGGGCACCAAAGCCAGCCCUAGACAGGGAGCCCCCGUGGUGUGAGGGGAAGAAAGCGGUGCGACCAGCCUCGAGCCCAAAGGAGUGAAUUCGAAUGAGGUGCCCUUCAUUGAAAUAAAGUCCUCCCCCUGCCGCAGUCGGGCAGGGUACUCUGCUGGGGACCGAGCACGCCAGGGGAGACACGGGGCCCGCCCUCCUGGAGUCGUUCCAGGAAAUGACUCCAGGAACUAAAUCGUAACAGGGGUUUCACCAGAGGACUUAUUGUAUAUGGGCUAUGGCAGCAGACCAGUUACACCACAGUACUUGAUUUCUGCAAGUGAGAAGUCCAAGACCAAGGUUCAGCAAAGUUGGUUUCUUCUCAGGAGCCUGAGGGAAGCAUCUGUUCCAGGUAAUGUUUAUAAAGGACACAAUCUACAGCCAGUUGAAUGGGACAGCUAAACUGCCUGGAGACAUCAAGAACAGCUUCUGCAGAAAGGAUUCGACAAACUCUUGGAAAAUAUAUCCUGCCUCUUGCUAGUUGCAGAGGUAUUUUCCCUGCAGAAAGUCACUGAUGUGCUUGAAGAAGUGGCAGUCGGUUGGCGAGAGGCCUGGUGAAUAUGGCGGCUGAGGCAGAACUUCCUAACCCGGUUCCUCCACUCUCUGAAGCGUUGCUGUGUGCCGUGUGGUUGGCAUGGUCAUGGAGAGGGCUGGGCCCUUUCUGGCGACCAGUGCCACCGCUGCGGCCGCUGCAGUUUGCAGUGCCUCUCACCCAUCUGCCGAGCAGACUUCCCAGCAGACGCAGUGGUCUCACUGGGGCUGAGAAAGCUGUAGUGGAACACACUGGCAGAAGACCAUGAGACAGUAACCAUGGCCUUUUUUGGUGCAAGUUUGGCUUUGGGAAGUGCUUUGGAACUUCUUCUGGGUUCAGCCACUGAGCUGGUCAUCGCUGGUUGUCUUUUCACCAUGCAUCCCAUUCCAGUUGAGAAAUGGUUCAUUGUUGUGUAGAAUAAGAGAAGAUGAUACUUCAAAAUGACCAUUUUUUGAUUUGCAGUCAGCUCACGAAGCACCCACUUAUCGAGCUUUCUCACCUUUCCAGUUUGCUUCAAAUGAAUGCCGAGUGACUGUGGAAUGGUUGACAUUGAGUUCUUUGGAAACUUCCCACGUAGUUGUAAGAGGAUCGGCUUGGAUGAUGGCUCUCAGUUGGUCAUUGUCAACUCCGAUGGCUGGCCACUACACUCCUCAUCUUCAAGGCUCUCAUCUCCUUUGCAGAAUUUCUUGAACCACCACUGCACUGUAUGGUCAUUAGUAGUUCCUGGGCCUCAUGUGUUGUUGAUAUUGUGAGUUGUCUCUGCUGCUUUAUGACCCAUUUUGAACUCGAAUAAGAAAAUCACUGGAAUUUGCUUUUUCUCUAAUAUCAUUUCUAUCUGUAGUCUAAAAUAAACAGCAAGUAAUGUCUUUAGCAAAAAAAAAACAAAAACAAAAAAACCAUGAAGUGAGAAGUGAGGAUUAAAAUGAUGUAUAGCAUAACCACAUUUAUUUAAGAAUAUAUUCCAGUAUCAAAUGGCAAAAUUCAAUGCAAAACUGCAAUUAUUUUUGCACCAACCUAAUAUCCACUCUGGCUUCUUGACCACUUGUGUAAAUGAAGACUGUUGCUCUCUAUGCAUUUGCUCUCUUUCUCUCUCCCUCCCUUGUCUUUCAUCUUUCCUCCUCUUCCUCUUCAUCUUUUUGAAAGACUUUUAAAGAUCAGCUUUGAGUUUAUAAUAAAGUUGGGAGGAAGAUACAGAGAUGUCCCUCCCGCAUGUAGGCACCUCGUUUAA